rnacentral:rRNA from 1 species
GACGUAGGGCGCAAGCGUUGUUCGGAUUUACUGGGCGUAAAGCGCGUGUAGGCGGCUUGGCAAGUCGGAUGUGAAAGCCCACGGCUCAACCGUGGAAGCGCAUCCGAAACUGCUUCGCUCGAGUCUCGGAGAGGAAGGUGGAAUGCUUGGUGUAGAGGUGAAAUUCGUAGAUAUCAAGCAGAACACCUGCGGCGAAGGCGGCCUUCUGGACGAUGACUGACGCUGAGACGCGAAAGCGUGGGGAGCAAACAGG